UCCAAGCUCACGUCCUCGGCUCCGCCUCAGGCUCCGGCUCCGCCUCAGCUCCGCCCCCGCCGCGAGGCUUCUAGCCGCGCGGUCCCCUGUCCCGCCCUCGGGAUCCGCCCUCGUGGAGAAGUGGGGGGGGACACCGGCUCCCCGGCUCCGCCUCCAGGCCGCAGACUCCGAGCCUCUCAGCCGGGAGACUUCGGCGGCUUGACUUCCGGCGGCCCAGCUCUCGCAAAAUGGCGGCUCUGUGGGGACAUUUCCAGUCUCGUUUUCCUCGCCCUAAAUUCAGAUGCGGAAGCCUCUCGUUUUGCUGCCGAACGCCCAACCUCUUGUGAUCCGCUAAUUCAUAUGUGGGUUUGAGUAGUCGUUUGAUAGUGCAGAGUUUAAAAAUCAGAUCUGGGCCAGAAUCCUGCUUUCCCUCUUUCCCAAGGGAGUGUGGCCUUGACCUUCCUAAAUCAGGGACUAAAAUGUCUAUAAAGCCUGUGCACUGGGCCUGAUUUGGAUAGAAUAAGCGCCUAGUCCCUGACUACUUGUGUCUCUGUUGUGGGGGAAACUACAUGUUUAUCCUCUCAGUGUACUGAGAAGAAAUUUGUUAUAUUGGUGGAAUACUUAAAAGCUUGAAAUGAAGAGGUCCCAAAUUUAGAGCUCCAUUUUGAAAUCCAAAAAAACUAUUUGUAUUAAUCUCUUGGAAUCAAAAUUAUGUCAAAUUCAAGGUGUUUAUGAUAUGAUGCCACUUAAUAUCUCCACAGCAUCUGUCCUUUGUAAAGCCUCUAUUUUGCCUUGCCUCCAACUAUUUUUUUCUUUCCUUUUUUUUUUUUUUUGGUCUGACAACUCCAGAUAUGUUUCUGUCAUCUUAGUUUUUGUGCAAAGAUACAAAAAUGUAUACUUUGAAAAAUCACAGUAAGCUAAGGUUAAAGUUUCUAAAAAGCUGGAGAAAAAAUGAGCAGAGAGGAACUAUAGAAAAGUCAUGCAUUCUAUUCCUGUUCUCACUUCACCUUUGUUCCCCAUCUUUACUCUUAACUGCCUUCUUUUUUUCCCCUUGAAACUGACUACUUCUUUUUAUUCUUCCAAGUGUAUUAUCUCAAGGCUAAAAAGAUUUCUGUUUAGAAAGCAUGAAGAUUUGUUUGUUUAAAGAAAUGCUGAGUUUUGACGUUUAGGAGAAUACGUGAAGAUAUACCUGGAAAGGAAUGUGUCAUAAUGAUUACAUUGUUUUUGGAUAUGUAAUCUGGAAGCUUUCCCAGGAUAAGUUGAAAAAGAGACUGGAGGCAAGAAAAGCAGAUGACUUUGGGAAGAACCUAGACACUAGGAAAUGAAGACAUAACGCACUUUGGAGUGAUGAUAAUGAAAAAAGUGGAAAUGGCAUGAGAGACAUUAUAAAAGAAGAGCUGAUGGGACUGGAUUACUGAUAGGGCCAAAGAAGAUGAAGGAGAUUUUAUUCAUCCAUCUGAGAGAGAGAGAGAGAGAGAAUGAGCAGGGAAUAGGAGCAGAGGGAGAGGGAGAACCAGACUCCCUGCUCAGCAGGGAGCCUGAUGUGGGGCUCAAUCUUAGGACCCCAGGAUCAUGAUCUGAGCCAAAGGCAGAAGCUUAACCAACUGAGCCACCCAGGAGCCCCUCAGCCUCAUUUCUUGAAGGAGUUGUCAUCGUCCUCGCCAUGUGUGGUCCUGGAGAUUCAGCAGUUGAUCUAAGAACACCCAACUAAUUGGUGUAAAAGAUUGAGAAUAUAAGUGCUCAUUCUCCUGUGGAUUAACUGCUCCUGAAGGUAUCAGCACAUGGGAAGAUGCUGACAGCCAUCUUGGGGCCAUGAGAGGAGCCAGUCUUAGAAUGACGCAGACACCACAGAAGCAGAGUGGAGAGAAGAAAGUAAAUAGGUCCUUGAUGACAAAUUGAGUUAUAAAAUCAAGCUUCAUCUGAAGCCAUGACUGGCCUGAAGCCUGUGGACUUUUCAUUCUCAUGAGCCAAUCAGUUUUCUUUAUUGUUUAAACAAGUCUGAAUUGGGUUUUCUGUUACUUGAAAUCAAAUGUAUAGAAAAAAAUUCUAGAAGGAAAUGCCAAUAGCAAAUAUCCCUGAGUAGUAAAAAUGCACAUGAUUUUUUCCUUUGAAGAAUAGCUCCCAAAAUUUCUACCCCCCAAAAGUACACUAAUUUUUAUCAAGCAAAAGCUUAAAAUAAGUUAUAAGGUAUAUAUUGGUUAUGUGGAAAUGGUGAAUAAUGUCUAAUUGCAAGUAUUUUUCUAAAACAAAUUUAAAAGUCACUACUGUAUAUUAAACUAGGUAGAUAUACAAAAUCCACUGAUGAAAUAGAACAAUUUAAGAGCACCGAUACCAUGCAAUGUAUGAAUUUAUACAAGGCUAAGGCUAAUUUUUUACAAGGUUGAUCUUUGUAUCCUUAGUUGUUCUAUAAAUGGCUUUUGAAUGAUUGAUUAAAAUAACUGCCUACUAGCUAUCAGUAUGUUGAAACAUAUUUGUUCAAUGGGAUCUAUUUGAUAUAAGCAACUGUGGGAUGGCUUUUUCAGAGUAGCUGGAUUUCUUAUUUUUUUCCAACUUUUCACUUGGCCUGGGUUUAUAGCCUUGCUUAAAUAUUCUCCUGGGGUGACUGGGUGGCUCAGUCGGUUAAGUGUCUGCCUUCAGCUCAGGUCAUGAUCCCAGGGCCCUGGGAUUGAAUCCCACGUUGGGCUCCUUGCUUGGCAGGGAACCUGCUUCUCCCACUCCCUCUGCCUGCAUGCCACUCCCCCUGCUUGUGCUCUCUCCCUCUCUCUCAUUAUCCCUUUCUCUGUGUCAAAUAAAUAAAUAAAUAAAAUCUUUAAAACUAACUAGCUAAAUAAAUAAAUAUUGUCCCAAA